rnacentral:rRNA from 1 species
AACGAACGCUGGCGGCAGGCCUAACACAUGCAAGUCGAGCGCCCUUUCGGGGGAGCGGCGGACGGGUGAGUAACGCGUGGGAAUAUGCCCUUCUCUACGGAAUAGCCUCGGGAAACUGAGAGUAAUACCGUAUACGCCCUUUGGGGGGAAGAUUUAUCGGGGAAGGAUUAGCCCGCGUUGGAUUAGGUAGUUGGUGGGGUAAUGGCCUACCAAGCCGACGAUCCAUAGCUGGUUUGAGAGGAUGAUCAGCCACACUGGGACUGAGACACGGCCCAGACUCCUACGGGAGGCAGCAGUGGGGAAUCUUAGACAAUGGGGGCAACCCUGAUCUAGCCAUGCCGCGUGAGUGAUGAAGGCCUUAGGGUUGUAAAGCUCUUUCAGCUGGGAAGAUAAUGACGGUACCAGCAGAAGAAGCCCCGGCUAACUCCGUG